AAGGCCUUAGCUUAAUUAAAGUGUUUGAGUUGCAUUCAGAAGAUGUGUUUAGAGUUGCACAGGUCUUA
rnacentral:tRNA from 1 species